UCCUGGCUCAGGAUGAACGCUAGCUACAGGCUUAACACAUGCAAGUCGAGGGGCAGCAUGGACCCAGCUUUGCUGGGUUUGAUGGCGACCGGCGCACGGGUGAGUAACGCGUAUCCAACCUGCCCUUUACUCCGGGAUAGUCUCCUGAAAGGGAGUUUAAUACCGGAUGUGUUUGUCUUUCCGCAUGGGAGCGACAAAUAAAGAUUAAUUGGUAAAGGAUGGGGAUGCGUCCCAUUAGCUUGUUGGCGGGGUAACGGCCCACCAAGGCGACGAUGGGUAGGGGUUCUGAGAGGAAGGUCCCCCACAUUGGAACUGAGACACGGUCCAAACUCCUACGGGAGGCAGCAGUGAGGAAUAUUGGUCAAUGGGCGGGAGCCUGAACCAGCCAAGUAGCGUGAAGGACGACGGCCCUACGGGUUGUAAACUUCUUUUAUAAGGGAAUAAAGUUCGCCACGUGUGGUGUUUUGUAUGUACCUUAUGAAUAAGCAUCGGCUAAUUCCGUGCCAGCAGCCGCGGUAAUACGGAAGAUGCGAGCGUUAUCCGGAUUUAUUGGGUUUAAAGGGAGCGUAGGCGGGCUUUUAAGUCAGCGGUCAAAUGUCGUGGCUCAACCAUGUCAAGCCGUUGAAACUGUAAGCCUUGAGUCUGCACAGGGCACAUGGAAUUCGUGGUGUAGCGGUGAAAUGCUUAGAUAUCACGAAGAACUCCGAUCGCGAAGGCAUUGUGCCGGGGCAUAACUGACGCUGAGGCUCGAAAGUGCGGGUAUCAAACAGGAUUAGAUACCCUGGUAGUCCGCACGGUAAACGAUGAAUGCUCGCUAUGGGCGAUAUAUUGUCCGUGGCCAAGCGAAAGCGUUAAGCAUUCCACCUGGGGAGUACGCCGGCAACGGUGAAACUCAAAGGAAUUGACGGGGGC
rnacentral:rRNA from 1 species